rfam:Lactobacillus mixtipabuli DNA, scaffold: sequence54, strain: IWT30.
AGGGACGCAGGAGGCUAAGCCGUGCGCACUGUUGGAUAUGUGCGUUCAAGCAGCAAGUCUGGUUGUUAGUAAAAUGCUUUCAACCGGGUAGACAAGCUGUGAUGAGGACCGAAUUUAAGUAGAAAAGUGGCUGAUGUCACACUGCCGAGAAAAGCUUCUAGUGAGUAUCUUACUACCCGUACCGCAAACCGACACAGGUAGUCGAGGAGAGUAUCCUAAGGUGUGCGAGUGAACUCUCGUUAAGGA